rnacentral:lncRNA from 1 species
CGAGAAUGUUCUCCACACCUUCGCUUCCAGAAGAUAGGUUCGUACCCUUUUUCUUUAGGAGUGGCCUCAACACUUGACUUCAUUUUGUCCCUUUGUUUGUCAUCACGAGAAACCACGAAUUUCAUAGAACCAAAAUUUGGCGAACUCCAUGUUCUCCUUGAACCAGUUGUUUUAUCAACUUGACUGAUUAUGUCAUCCCUCAUUCCAAGAUUUUCUUUCUCUUGUAUAUCUAUAAUAAAUUCUCCAUUUUUAUUAUCAGUAAUGAAUUCAUUUUCAUCAGAAGUACCUCUACUACAGGUGGGCCCAGAGUUAUGGUCCACUUUUUUUCUCUUAUGAGGGUUCUCUCCAGGAGAACCUUUCAUGGGAGAUUUGGCCGUGGUGCAAUCAUCUUUCACAUUCUCUGGAAUUUGGAUGGUUCCAGAUAGAAACAUGGC